AUGGAGGGGGAGCUCACGAAGAAGAUGGAGAGGAAACUCAGGAAGAAGCAGAAGAAGCUAUUGAAGAAGAUGGGGAAAGAGAAGCCCCAAUCCCUGGUAAAGGAAAUCAUCUCCGUGGAGAGGGAGCGUAGAGACUUGCAUGCCUCACUUACUCCCACGUUCUCUGUCUGGAAAGAAAUCGAUUCUCAAACAACGUGGACAAUCGCCACAAAGGACCCUGCUACUGCUACUACCAGGGACGAUGAGAAUCAACUUGCGGAGUACUUCAACUUGAUGCUCCAAGAUAUGGAGGACCUGGGCCAUCGGAUGCUUUCUAUGCUGUAUUUUCUCAACAAAUCCAAUGACCCCAUCUGCUCCUACAAGGCCACCGAGCUGUGCAAUACAGCAGCCAAAUUAAAUAUGCAGAUAUCCAAGGGAUUCAGCAUGUACCAUGAGCCGGAGCAGGAGCCGGAGCCGGGGCAGAUCAACUUGUCGACUCUUUUCAGCAAAUAUUAUCGAUUUCCCAAUAAUUACGAGAACACCUUGGCCAAGUUAGACAUGAGGGAGGAGGAGACCAAGUGUGAGGAUGUUAAGGUGAAGAAGACCAAGGAAGAGGAGGACAAGGAGAAUGACCCAUCCACAAUCAAGUAUUUCAAGAAAAGUCUGGAGCUUGAUCAAUACUUUUUCGCCAAGGAUCGGAAAUACUGGGAAAAUGGUUGGGCCAGCAAGAUUGGCCGCUGCGGUGGAUUCGCAAAUACAACCAUACUAAGCCCUAUGCAGUUUACACACUACACACCUGGCAGCAUCCCAUCCCUUGCUGCCGUCACUGGUACUACUUUGCAGAUCUAUUCAAUUAAGAUAAAGAAUCUGAAAGGCUUGAAUUGGCCACUCAAAGUGUAUGGCAAGGUUGCUGCUCGAGACACUGUGGACCGCAACCGCAACAUUCUGUUCUCUCGGCCAAAGUUUGAUUAUCAAGAACUAAAUGGAGAAAAUGAUUCCUUAUGCUUGAUUGGUCCGUCUCGUGCGAUUGUUAGUUUUGACCAUGUCGACUUUGAAGUUGAACUCAAAGUCCAAGCGGGGCAAUUUAAUGGAGAAAAGGUCUAA
rnacentral:rRNA from 1 species